UACGAGAGGCCCGAGCGUUAAUCGGAAUCACUGGGCUUAAAGCGUGCGCAGGCGGAUCGGCAGGCAUCCUGUGAAAUCCCACGGCUCAACCGUGGAACAGCGGGGUGAACCGCCGGUCUUGAGGCAGGUAGGGGCUGAUGGAACUAUGGGUGGAGCGGUGAAAUGCGUAGAUAUCCAUGGGAACGCCGAUGGCGAAGGCAGUCAGCUGGGCCUGUCCUGACGCUCAGGCACGAAAGCGCGGGGAGCAAACGGG
rnacentral:misc_RNA from 1 species